rnacentral:rRNA from 1 species
GAUUAUGGCUCAGAACGAACGCUGGCGGCGCGUUUAAGCAUGCAAGUCGAGCGGCAAGGGCCUUCGGGCCCCUAGAGCGGCGGACGGGUGAGUAACACGUGGACAAUCUGCCCCCCGGCCCGGGAUAGCCCAGGGAAACCUGGAUUAAUACCGGAUGAGAUGGGACCCGCGAUGGCGGGAUCCGGGAAAGGCGCUGCGGCGCCGCCGGGGGAUGAGUCUGCGUCCCAUUAGCUAGACGGCGGGGUAACGGCCCACCGUGGCGACGAUGGGUAGCCGGCCUGAGAGGGUGGACGGCCACAUUGGAACUGAGACACGGUCCAGACUCCUACGGGAGGCAGCAGCUAAGAAUCUUCCGCAAUGGGCGAAAGCCUGACGGAGCCGACGCCGCGUGAACGAAGAAGGCCGUGAGGUUGUAAAGUUCUUUUCGGGAGGGGGAACAACCGUGGCAGGGAAUGGCCGCGGGAUGACGUGAAUCCCGGAAUAAGCCCCGGCUAACUACGUGCCAGCCGCCGC